rnacentral:rRNA from 1 species
GUGUCAGCCGCCGCGGUAAAACCAGCACCUCAAGUGGUCAGGAUGAUUAUUGGGCCUAAAGCAUCCGUAGCCGGCUUUGUAAGUUUUCGGUUAAAUCCAUGUGCUUAACGCAUGGGCUGCCGAAAAUACUGCAUGGCUAGGGAGUGGGAGAGGUAGACGGUACUCAGUAGGAAGGGGUAAAAUCCUUUGAUCUAUUGAUGACCACCUGUGGCGAAGGCGGUCUACCAGAACACGUUCGACGGUGAGGGAUGAAAGCUGGGGGAGCAAACCGGAUUAGAUACCCGGGUAGUNCCAGCUGUAAACGAUGCAGACUCGAUGAUGCAUUGGCAUAAUAGCCAUUGCAGUGUCGCAGGGAAGCCGUUAAGUCUGCCGCCUGGGAAGUACGUACGCAAGUAUGAAACUUAAAGGAAUUGGCGGGGGAGCACCACAAGGGGUGAAGCCUGCGGUUCAAUUGGAGUCAACGCCAGAAAUCUUACCCGGAGAGACAGCAGAAUGAAGGUCAAGCUGAAGACUUUACCAGACAAGCUGAGAGGUGGUGCAUGGCCGUCGCCAGCUCGUGCCGUGAGAUGUCCUGUUAAGUCAGGUAACGAGCGAGAUCCCUACCACUAGUUGCUAUCAUUAUUCUCAGGAAUAGUGGGGCGAAUUAGUGGGACUGCCGUUGUUAAAACGGAGGAAGGAAGGGGCUACGGCAGGUCAGUAUGCCCCGAAACUCUGGGGCCACACGCGGGCUGCAAUGGUAGUGACAAUGAGUUCCAAACUCGAAAGAGAGUGGCAAUCUCUAAACGCUACCACAGUUAUGACUGAGGGCUGUAACUCGCCCUCACGAAUAUGGAAUCCCUAGUAACCGCGUGUCAUUACCGCGCGGUGAAUACGUCCCUGCUCCUUGCACACACCGCCCGUC